GGCGGACCUGUGAGGGAACCCGACUUGCUGGCAGAACUUACGCUGCGGCACCCCGGGCACUGUUGCUGCUGCGGUAGAUAUUCAAGAGAAGCUUAUGUGGAGUUAGUUCACCAUGUUAGAGAAUCUAUUCCAGGUGUGAGCCUCAGCAGCGACUUCAUUGCUGGCUUUUGUGGUGAGACGGAGGAAGAUCACAUUCAGACAGUCUCUUUGCUCCGGGAAGUUCAGUACAACAUGGGCUUCCUCUUUGCCUACAGCAUGAGACAGAAGACACGGGCAUAUCAUAGGCUGAAGGACGAUGUUCCGAAAGAGGUAAAAUUAAGACGUUUGGAGGAACUUAUCACUGUCUUCCGAGAAGAAGCAACAAAAGCCAAUCAGACCUCUGUGGGCUGUACCCAGUUGGUGCUAGUGGAAGGGCUCAGUAAACGCUCUGCCACUGACCUGUGUGGCAGGAAUGAUGGAAACCUUAAGGUGAUCUUCCCUGAUGCAGAGAUGGAGGAUGUCAAUAACCCUGGGCUCAGGGUCAGAGCCCAGCCUGGGGACUACGUGCUGGUGAAGAUCACCUCGGCCAGCUCUCAGACACUUAGGGGACAUGUUCUCUGCAGGACCACUCUGAGGGACUCCUCUGCAUAUUGCUGACCUGAGAAGAUGGCCUCAGAGCUGACUUGGGCAGUCCUCCCCAACAGGAAGGGGAGACAUUGCUGGCCACUGAGGAAAGAGGUCAUGAAGGUGGAGAUAAGAUGCAAGGGGCGAAGCAACUUUAUGUCAGUGGAAAACGUGUCUCUUUAAAGCUGCUAUGUGAACAGCUUUUACAGUCAUUAAAUUUACCUAAACUAAAGUUAA
rnacentral:sRNA from 1 species